GUCCACGCGCAGCUAGGGUUUUGCUCCGCCGCAACCGCACGAUCCAGACCCCAUGCCCUACACCUCCCGGCGGCGGCGGCGAGCAGCAAGCAGUCAGCGGCAAGAUGAGGCCUGUUCUGAUGAAGGGGCACGAGCGCCCGCUCACGUUCCUCAAGUACAACCGGGACGGCGACCUGCUCUUCUCCUGCGCCAAAGACCACACCCCCACCGUGUGGUACGCCUCCAACGGCGACCGCCUCGGCACCUACCGCGGCCACAACGGCGCCUUGUGGUCCUGCGACGUCUCCUGCCACUCCACGCGCCUCAUCACCGGGAGCGCCGACCAGACCGCCAAGCUCUGGGACGUCCAGACGGGGAGGGAGCUCUUCACCUUCAGGUUCGUCGCCCCCGCGCGCUCCGUCGACUUCGCCAUCGGCGACCACCUGGCGGUCAUCACCACCGACAGCUUCAUGGGGAAGACGCCCACCGCGCAGGUCAAGCGCAUCGCCGAGGACCUGCAAGACCGUACGAGACGGAGGAGUCGGCGCUCGUGAUCUCCGGCAUCACGGGGAGGAUUAACAGGGCCGUCUGGGGACCCGGCAACCGGACCAUCAUCACCGCUGGAGAGGAUGCCACCAUCCGCAUCUGGGACUCUGAGACCGGAAAGCUGCUGAAGGAGUCAGACAAGGAGGCUGGACAUCAGAAGGCAAUUAGCUCACUCUCAAAAUCCUUAGAUUGGUCUCAUUUCCUCACAGGUUCCUUGGAUAAAUCUGCUAAGCUAUGGGAUGCAAGAACACUGACCCUGAUAAAGACAUAUGUCACAGAGCUACCAGUUAAUGCUGUUGACAUGUCUCCUACUCUUGAUAAUGUGGUUAUUGGAGGUGGUCAAGAUGCAAUGAACGUUACUAUGACAGAUCGCCGUGCCGGUAAAUUCGAGGCCAAAUUUUUCCACAAGAUUUUACAAGAAGAGAUUGGUGGUGUUAAAGGACAUUUUGGACCAAUCAAUGCAUUGGCAUUUAAUCCUGAUGGGAAGCGGUUAUUUCAUAUUACAUUGUAUUUUGAUUUCUUAUAUUCGUAUUCUGCCUCUGCACUUGGGUUUGUGUUAUGCCUCUGUUUCACACUUGGUAUGCUAAUUUGCUCAAUGAUUAAGCCAUGUAGAUUCAUGGCGAUAUACGCUAUUCUGAUUCUUUAGGAUGUCAUCAAAUGUUAUGAGAGCAGACCUUGAUUUUGAAUUUUAUAUGUUAAGUAACUCUUUUUACCAUUUCAUGUUGAUUUCUCAAUUUACAUUUUGCCUCUGCACCUUGGGUUGGCAAUAUGCUCUGUUUCACUUAGUUUGCUAAUCUUCUCAAUGAUUAAGCCGUGUAGAUUCAUGGCGAUAUACGCUAUUCUGAGUCUUUAAGAUGUCAUCAAACUUUAUGAGAGAAGAUCUUGAUAUUGUUUUCUUGUUAAUAUUUAUUUAUCUCCCGUGGGUCAAGUAUUGUGAAGUAAUCCUCACUCGCCACUUUAUUGUCUAACUUCUUAAGUCUUGACUCAUCCUCUGUAUCCUGGAUUCUACAUGGGCAUUGGGUUUGACUUAUCUGUUACACAUUGUUCAUCUUUGACAUCUGUUUGUGACAUAUUUUGUUUCCUUUGUGAUCUCAUGCCUUUGCUUACUACCUUUUAUCUUGUUGAAUAGCUGGCUUUUCUCUUGCGAUUUUUUCUCAACAUGUAGCUCAGUGAUUAGAGCCAAUUACAUUGGCAAUAUACGCUAUACUGACCAUAUUUUGAUGAAAAGUUGUAUAUGAGAGCUACAUGAAGUAAUUCUUAUCACCAUUCUAUUGUCUUUAAUCUCGAGUCUUAGUGAAUCCUCUAUCUUGGCCUUGAGUUUUGACUUUUGUGUAACACAUAACUUAUCAUUCCCAUCUGUUUGAGCACACGUUGUUUCCUUUGUGUUUUGGUGCCUUUUCUUCACACCUUCUAUCUUAUUGAAUCACUCUCUUUUGUCAUGUUUAGUAAUGAUGAUGCUCAGUGAUUAUAGCCAAUUACAUUGGCAAUAUACGCUAUGCUGACCUUGUUUUGAUGAAAAGUUGGAUAUGAGAGCUAUAUCGUCCUCUGAAUUUAUCUUGGCAGAUCUAACCUGCAAUAUUGCUUGAUCAUGCUUUGUUGCACAUUCUGCUUUAUUGUACCUAUUGAAUUCCUCAUGUAGAUGGUAUGGCAGCUCAGUGAUUUUAGCCAAAUAAACUUUGGUCAUAUACGCUAUUCUGAAUAUGUUGUUGUAAAAUAAAUUUAUGAGAGCUACCAAUCCUUCUUUGAUACUGUUAUAUUUCUUUUGUGAUUUAUGUUUAUCCAAAUGCUUUUGAGAAAUAGGAUUUUCACCUCCCUCUUUGAGCUUCCGUUCUUGAUUUCUCAUGUAUUUUUAUGAAUUCCAGUUUUAACGACCUGUGUUUUCCCAUGUAAUGUCCAUAGCUUUUCGAGUGGUGGGGAGGAUGGAUACGUGAGGCUACACCAUUUUGAUCCUGAGUAUUUCAACAUCAAGAUGUAAGCCUGGGAAUUUCUCAAGGCCAGGGUGCUCCAUUCAGGCGCCAUUAUGCUAGGCUCCAUUCAGGCGCCAUUAUUUUUCAGGCACAGUGCACCAUUUUCCUACCUUGUCUCAGGCUGCAGUUGAGAGGCCUCCAUCAUACUCUGGAGUGAACAUAGUUUUUUUUUAGGUCUCAGUUUUUAAACAACUUGACUUAGCUGUAUGGUCUACUAUGUAAUACCCACUUCGGUCACUAUUAAGCUGUUCUAACUUUUUUCUGAAUCGGAUGUAUAGACAUGUUUCAGCUUGUUUGUUCAGUUCACUCAUUUCAGUCUAUGUAAUCCAUAUUGAAAUAUCCAAAACAUAUAUUAGUGAACAGAACAGAGGGAGCGGCACUUUUUUUUGGUACAAUCAGCAAUGGAGAUGCUUAAAUUGGCGA